rnacentral:rRNA from 1 species
UACGUAGGGCGCAAGCGUUAUCCGGAAUUAUUGGGCGUAAAGAGCUCGUAGGCGGUUUGUCGCGUCUGCCGUGAAAGUCCGGGGCUCAACUCCGGAUCUGCGGUGGGUACGGGCAGACUAGAGUGAUGUAGGGGAGGCUGGAAUUCCUGGUGUAGCGGUGGAAUGCGCAGAUAUCAGGAGGAACACCGAUGGCGAAGGCAGGUCUCUGGGCCAUUACUGACACUGAGAAGCGAAAGCAUGGGGAGCGAACAGG